rnacentral:rRNA from 1 species
GACGAACGCUGGCGGCGUGCUUAACACAUGCAAGUCGAACGGAAAGGCCCUGCUUUUGUGGGGUGCUCGAGUGGCGAACGGGUGAGUAACACGUGAGUAACCUGCCCUUGACUUUGGGAUAACUUCAGGAAACUGGGGCUAAUACCGGAUAGGAGCUCCUGCUGCAUGGUGGGGGUUGGAAAGUUUCGGCGGUUGGGGAUGGACUCGCGGCUUAUCAGCUUGUUGGUGUGGUAGUGGCUUACCAAGGCUUUGACGGGUAGCCGGCCUGAGAGGGUGACCGGCCACAUUGGGACUGAGAUACGGCCCAGACUCCUACGGGAGGCAGCAGUGGGGAAUAUUGCACAAUGGGCGGAAGCCUGAUGCAGCAACGCCGCGUGCGGGAUGACGGCCUUCGGGUUGUAAACCGCUUUCGCCUGUGACGAAGCGUGAGUGACGGUAAUGGGUAAAGAAGCACCGGCUAACUACGU